UAAGUCCCGCAACGAGCGCAACCCCUAUUUUUAGUUGCUAUUUUUAGAACUCUAGAAAGACUGCCGGUUAUAAACCGGAGGAAGGCAGGGAUGACGUCAAGUCAGCAUGCCCCUUACACCCUGGGCUACACACGUGCUACAUUGGGCGAGACAAUGAGAUGCAACUCUGUGAAGAUUAGCUAAUCUAAAAACUCGUUCUAAGUUCGGAUUGUAGGCUGCAACUCGCCUGCAUGAAGGUGGAAUCGCUAGUAAUCGCUGGUCAGCUAUACAGCGGUGAAUCCGUUCCCGGGCCUUGUACACACCG
rnacentral:rRNA from 1 species